rnacentral:lncRNA from 1 species
CCUGGGCCUGUUUAGGCUAGUUUAUUGUGUCUGUUCUCUAAACAGUAUGCAUCGGAGGCAAGCUCUGAAGUCCCAAACAACUGAAAAUAUAUUCUCUGAACACCUGCAUCCCUUCUGUCAACAGAAACCAAAUUUAUCCUUUUAUACCUGACUACACUGUGUUGUCAUAAGAUUAUAACUACAGUAUCUAACUAACUGGAAUCAUCUGGUAACUGAAUGUCUGAAGUAUAAAUACCAUUUUAUUAAUGAAUAUAUUUCCAUUUAACUCAACCUUAACAGAUACAGUUGUGUGUAGGGUGUAAUGUUUGAAUGUUUUUGUUGACAGUGUCAGAAACUACAUCUGUCUAUGACCAAUGAACAGAACUUGAAUCCCUUAUCAUAAACAGCAGUGAACACUGCGGCAACAUCAUGCUUUAAUAUCUGCAUUCAAGAUGUCAUGAACUGGACAUGCCCUCUUGAUUCCAGCACUAAUAUUGUCAUGACCAAAUGUCAAAGUUCAUAUUCAGCAAGUUGAAGAUAACUGACACCAUCUUUAAGUAUAAGUUUCACAAAUAUGGUAUACAGAUGUUUUUGUUUUCACGACUGAUAUAUAUAUAGUUUUGAAAAAACA